AUGGACGUUCAGAUUUCGGUCAAAACCGAUGGGAGUUUACCGUCACCGGAGCGGAUGGUUGCUUCCGACGCGUCCCAUCUUGUUUCGGCCCGGUGUAUGUUUACCGAAAUUCCUGAAGCAGCUGGCCCCCCACCCGAAUCAGGGACCGAAGAGCCAUCUCUCUCUCUCUCUCUUGGAAGCUGCCCCAUCGGCAUCGGUAUCCGGCGGGGGCCCUACGUCGCCUGGCCUCUCGCGGCGCACAAUGGCGGGUGCCCCACCUCCACACGGAUCCAACAGUACUCC
rnacentral:lncRNA from 1 species